GAUGAACGCUGGCGGCGUGCCUAAUACAUGCAAGUCGAGCGGAAAGGCCCUUCGGGGUACUCGAGCGGCGGACGGCUGAGUAACGCGUAGGAACGUACCCCAAAGUGAGGGAUAACUGCUCGAAAGAGUAGCUAAUACCGCAUGUGCUCUUCGGAGUAAAGCUUCGGCGCUUUGGGAACGGCCUGCGUCCUAUUAGCUAGUUGGUGAGGUAAUUGCUCGCCAAGGCGACGAUAGGUAGCUGGUCUGAGAGGAUGAUCAGCCUGACUGGGACUGAGACACGGCCCAGACUCCUACGGGAGGCAGCAGUAGGGAAUUUUCCACAAUGGGCGAAAGCCUGAUGGAGCAACGCCGCGUGCAGGAUGAAUGCCUUCGGGUUGUAAACUGCUUUUAUAGGUGAAGAAUAUGACGGUAACCUAUGAAUAAGGAUCGGCUAACUCCGUGCCAGCCGCCGCAGUAA
rnacentral:rRNA from 1 species